AUGUCGUCCCUCGCGGUUGGCCGCGGGCUGGGCUUGGAGCUCUGGCUCGGCGGCCUCUUCUCAGCCGCGGAGCUGGCGGCAGCGGAACUGCUCCUGCAGCUCGGCGGGGACGACGAGGUGGCGUCCACGACGUCCUCCUCGCGGCGGUCGGUGAGCUCGUGGAGCAAGGCUGGCCUCACCGCGGAGGAGUGGGUCGUCGAGGAGACGGCGUCGCUUGAGCUGGACAGGAGGGCGAGGAAGAGGUACCGCCGGGUGUCCGACCUCUACACCACGAUACCGGCCAUGGACGCCUCUGCCGCGAAGAAGAGGAGGACGUGCGACGGCGGCGGAGGCGACGAGCCGACGAGGUGUCGAAGUUGCGACACCGAGGAAAUCAUCGAGAUCAUUGUUGGAUGGUGCAAGGUGGAGAUGGUGAAGUUGCGAGCCAUCAUCAAGAUUUCCGGCGAGUUCAUAUACAGUGAAGAUGACUUGCACGUAUAUGGCGAGUUGUGUUGCCGCUGGACAGGAGGUGUCAUACGGUAA
rnacentral:rRNA from 1 species